rnacentral:rRNA from 1 species
GGGAGGCAGCAGUGAGGAAUAUUGCACAAUGGGCGAAAGCCUGAUGCAGCAACGCCGCGUGAGGGACGAAGGCCUUCGGGUCGUAAACCUCUUUUCUGAGGGACGAGUAAGGACGGUACCUCAGGAAUGAGUCUCGGCUAACUACGUGCCAGCAGCCGCGGUAAAACGUAGGAGGCGAGCGUUAUCCGGAUUUACUGGGCGUAAAGCGCACGCAGGUGGCUGUGUAAGUCGGACAUGAAAGCUCCUGGCUUAACUGGGAGAGGUGGUUCGAAACUGCAUAGCUUGAGGUUGGGAGAGGGACGUGGAAUUCCCGGUGUAGUGGUGGAAUGCGUAGAUAUCGGGAGGAACACCAGUGGCGCAAGCGGCGUCCUGGCCCACACCUGACGCUGAGGUGCGAAAGCGUGGGUAGCAAACAGGAUUAGAUACCCGCGUAGUCCG